AAGUCGUAACAAGGUCUCCGUAGGUGAACCUGCGGAGGGAUCAUUACUGAAUGGCUCCGGCCUUCAGCCUUCAAACCUGUGGAAGCAAACCGUGCUUCGGGGCUGGCCCGGCCACUAUUAGCAAGCAGUUGUUCUGAAUCAAAAGCAAGAAUUAAAA
rnacentral:misc_RNA from 1 species